AUUCAGGAUUUUCUUUUUGUGCUAACGAUUCCUCACUCCUAUUGGGGGCAGGAGGAGAAAGGGACGACAGAGGAUGAGAUGGCUGGAGGCAUCAUGACUCGAUGGACGUGAGUUUGAGUGAACUUCGGGAGUUGGUAAUGGACAGGGAGGCCUGGCAUGCUGCGAUUCAUAGGGUCACAAAGAGUCAGACACGACUGAGCGACUGAACUGAACUGAACAUAUCAUUCACUCUUUUACAUUUUGUUGAAUAGGAAGUAGAAUGGGUAGGAAGCAUAACUCACAGAUCAGAAUUCUGACUGUGCACAUGCGUGCUAAGUCGCUUCAGUUUUAUCCAACUCUUUGUGACCCCAUGGACUGUAGUCUGCCAAGCUCCUCUGUCCAUGGAAUUCUCCAGGCAAGAACACUGGAGUGGUUUGUCAUUCCCUUAUCCAGGGGCUCUUCCUGACCCAGGGAUCGAACCCAGGUCUCCUGCAUUGCAGGCAGAAUCUUUACUGUCUGAGCCACAAAGGAAGCCCAGUCAGAAUUUACAGCUGGAUUUCAUUCAGAGUGGUUGAAACCCAAGCAGUUUUUGUUAAUAUUUUAAUCGCUACUAGGACUAAAGAAAAUUCUAAAAUAAGUGUCUGACUGUUGUUAAACAAUAUACUGUACAGUCCAUUCAAAGGGCAGAUCUGGAUAUAUGUAUCCUUAAUCAUUGCUCUAUAGUACCAAGGGCUGACCUGCAAGGAAUUAUCAUCAUGCUGUCCUUCCUGUAAAAAAAGUGAUGCUAAUGACCAGCUGACAGUAGGGCCUAGGUAGUGACUUGUUUUUUCAAGGGUGCUGGGUUCUGCUACUCUCUCCUGACCUCUCAAUGAGAGCAAUGAAAGAAGAGGCCAAAGUGCAGAUACAGAAAGAAAAUGCAUUGCUCUGGCCUCAUUAACACCGAACUCAAACCAAGUGAGUCAAACGGCUUAGAGAAACAAUUCCCUUUUCAACUCCCAGGUGAAAAAGUGAAGAAAAUGAGCCAUAAAGAAAAUGAACGACCUCCUCUUGUAACCUUUCCAUUAGAGGAAUGGACAAUGAUUAGAAUCUGCUGUGGCUUAUUACCCACUAUCCAUGUUAAAAUGUGGCUACUUAGCACUAUUGAUAAUAGUCAAGAUAUGGAGACAACCUAAAUGUCCAUCAACACGUGAACGGAUAAAGAAGGUAUAGUACAUACAUAGGGUGGAAUAUUAGCCAUAAAAAUGAAAUAAUGUCACUUGUGGCAACAUGGAUGGACCUAGAGAUUAUCAUACUAAGUGAAGUAAUUCAAAGACAAAUAUUAUAUGGUGUCACUUAUAUGUAGAAGCUAAAAUAUGACACAAAUGAACUGCUAAACAGAAACAGACUCAGAUACAGAACAGACUUGUGGUUGCAAAAGGGAAGGAGGUGGGGAGGGAAGGAUAAGAAGUUUGGGAUUAGCAGAUACAAACGAUCAUGUAUAGGAUGGAUAAACAACAAGGUCCUACUGUAUAGCAUGGGGAAUUGUAUUCAAUAUUCUAUGAAUGAAAAAGAAUGUAUAUGCAUGUCUAUGCAUGACUGAAUCACUUUGCAAUGAAACAUAAAUUAAUACAACGUUGUAAAUCAACAGUACUUUGAUAAAAUAAGCAUCUGCUUAGCUUUCUAGUCCUCCCUAAAGCACUCACUCUUCCUACUGAUCUUACCUUAUCUUCCAUUCUAGGUCGAUCAGUCUACUCACUGCUUCAGAAACACAGCAAGUUCAUACCACUACCUACAUCUCAUUUACCCCAAAUACAAUUUCCUAAGCUUAUUUGUACCUAUGAAAUACUUAAUGUUUUCUCAAGGCCCAGCAAUCUAGGCUGUGAAGUAUCCUUGAACUAUUGCUACUUUCAGUUUUACCUGAUUUCUCCUGGGCACCUGCCAUACUUCAGUAUUUUAUUAUAUGCCUUUUUAUAUUUACUCUUUAUUGUUGCCUUUUACCCUUGUUUCAUGUAUUUUAAUUUUAUCUUCCUAACAAGAUUAUAAAAUGUUUGAGGAUCUGAACCUUAUCAUAUAUUAAUUCUGCUUCUCCCUUUGAAAGGAUGAAUAAAUUCUUGUUGCCUAUAGAAUCUCACAUGUCAUAAGUGCUAAUAACCAUUUAUUUUAUUUGACUGAUUAUGAAUUCCUAUCAUGGUAGGUGUUGACAUGUACAUAAUACCAUUAUGGAGGAUCCAAAUGACCAAGCUAUAUUUCAAAUUGUAGUCGUACUCUAAGCAAACAUAUUUAUCAUAAAAUGGAAUAGUGAUUUUUUAUUUAUGAGAGUCUGGAGUUGCAAAAGUAUUUGACCUAUCUUUCUUGAAUUGGAAAUAUCUAACAUCAGCCUUUUGGAUGGGAGGAUAAUUUGAUUGCACUAUCUACUAUUCAUUUGAUGGCUGAGGUGGAUUUAGUUAUCAGGCUGGCUGGCCAGGUUUAACUUUCAUUCCUGGAUGCUAAAGUUAUGAGAUAGAAUUUGGAGGCUGAGCAGCUCACUUGGAGGAGAUGGACCAUUUUAUAAACAAAAGUAUCAAUGAAACCACAUCCUUACUAUCAUCUUUGGAAGACGAUAGCAACCAUUAGUAUUUUUACUCACUAAAUGCUUAGCUAUUACACAGAUUUUCAAGGUUUCUAUUUAAGUUCUUGAUUGCAGUGCCUUAAAUUAAUGUAAACAUCCUUUCAAAACAGUAAAGUUUCCAUGGAGUAUAUAAGAGUUAGACUAAAAAUUUCAUCAAGGGAAGCUAGAGGACAUGUCUAUCUUAUGUAUAUUAUGUCUUUAACACAUCAAUAAACAUGUGGGAAUAUAUUAAUAUAUUCAAAUGUUACACAAGUACUGUGGACUCCACCCAUUUACAGAGAUAUUCUCAUUGAUAUUAAUAUUUUGCAUUUAUUUUCCCAAACUAUCCUUCUACCUAACUCCAAGAAGUCAAGUGCUUUGUAGUGUUUAUCUUCUCAAAUACUUCUAACAUCUCCAGGGACACUUGUUAGUAUUUGCUGCUUGCUGCCAUGGCUAGAAAGUCAGGACUUUCUGAUCUUUAGAUCUUGGAUCCAUGGAAGAAAUACUUUAAGGUUAAAAUACUGUUUCCAUGACGACUGCUGUCAUAGCCACCAGGAAAAUCUCCCCAUGUGAUGUCGGUGAAAUUGGACCUAUGCCUCUAUGACUGAAAGUGGAGGGUCAAUGAAUAGUAUAAAGGAUGUCCAUUCUGUAUUAGACUUAGCGAAGGCUUCUAUAGCAAUUUUGCUUGCACCUCAAGAGUUAGGGCACUCAGCUCUCCAGCACUCUCAAUCACCCCCAUAGAGCUAGAGAGCCAGGAUGCCAAAAUUCCAGGACUGAACACCAAGACCAUUUCCAGGCUGAGACUCUGCUUCCAGCAGCAUCUUUCCCAUCAGUGAUACAGGGGCUAUCUUGCAUCCCAAUGUCAGUGAAAUUGCAACCAGCAGUGCCUAAAAUCCAAGAUUGUUCUGCUGUCUGGAGAAUUGAUAUCCUUAGAAUGUGAUUCAAAGACAAAACCCUUUCAAAGCAAAAUGAAGGUUAAAAUGUUUCUUCUCUGGUAUACUCAACCUGGG
rnacentral:lncRNA from 1 species